rnacentral:rRNA from 1 species
CCGGAGCUUGCUCCACCGGAAAAAGAGGAGUGGCGAACGGGUGAGUAACACGUGGGUAACCUGCCCAUCAGAAGGGGAUAACACUUGGAAACAGGUGCUAAUACCGUAUAACAAUCAAAACCGCAUGGUUUUGAUUUGAAAGGCGCUUUCGGGUGUCGCUGAUGGAUGGACCCGCGGUGCAUUAGCUAGUUGGUGAGGUAACGGCUCACCAAGGCCACGAUGCAUAGCCGACCUGAGAGGGUGAUCGGCCACAUUGGGACUGAGACACGGCCCAAACUCCUACGGGAGGCAGCAGUAGGGAAUCUUCGGCAAUGGACGAAAGUCUGACCGAGCAACGCCGCGUGAGUGAAGAAGGUUUUCGGAUCGUAAAACUCUGUUGUUAGAGAAGAACAAGGAUGAGAGUAACUGUUCAUCCCUUGACGGUAUCUAACCAGAAAGCCACGGCUAACUACGUGCCAGCAGCCGCGGUAAUACGUAGGUGGCAAGCGUUGUCCGGAUUUAUUGGGCGUAAAGCGAGCGCAGGCGGUUUCUUAAGUCUGAUGUGAAAGCCCCCGGCUCAACCGGGGAGGGUCAUUGGAAACUGGGAGACUUGAGUGCAGAAGAGGAGAGUGGAAUUCCAUGUGUAGCGGUGAAAUGCGUAGAUAUAUGGAGGAACACCAGUGGCGAAGGCGGCUCUCUGGUCUGUAACUGACGCUGAGGCUCGAAAGCGUGGGGAGCAAACAGGAUUAGAUACCCUGGUAGUCCACGCCGUAAACGAUGAGUGCUAAGUGUUGGAGGGUUUCCGCCCUUCAGUGCUGCAGCUAACGCAUUAAGCACUCCGCCUGGGGAGUACGACCGCAAGGUUGAAACUCAAAGGAAUUGACGGGGGCCCGCA